rnacentral:rRNA from 1 species
UGCAAGUCGAACGGUAGAGGGGGCAACCCCUUGAGAGUGGCGAACGGCUGAGUAAUAUAUCGGAACGUGCCCAGUCGUGGGGGAUAACGUAGUGAAAAUUACGCUAAUACCGCAUACGAUCUAAGGAUGAAAGCGGGGGAUCGCAAGACCUCGCGCGAUUGGAGCGGCCGAUAUCAGAUUAGGUAGUUGGUAGGGUAAAGGCCUACCAAGCCAACGAUCUGUAGCUGGUCUGAGAGGACGACCAGCCACACUGGAACUGAGACACGGUCCAGACUCCUACGGGAGGCAGCAGUGGGGAAUUUUGGACAAUGGGGGGAACCCUGAUCCAGCAAUGCCGCGUGUGUGAAGAAGGCCUUCGGGUUGUAAAGCACUUUUGUCAGGAACGAAACGGUGGGGGCUAAUACCUCCUGCUAAUGACGGUACCUGAAGAAUAAGCACCGGCUAACUACGUGCCAGCAGCCGCGGUAAUACGUAGGGUGCGAGCGUUAAUCGGAAUUACUGGGCGUAAAGCGUGCGCAGGCGGUUGUGCAAGACAGAUGUGAAAUCCCCGGGCUCAACCUGGGAAUUGCAUUUGUGACUGCACGGCUAGAGUGUGUCAGAGGGGGGUAGAAUUCCACGUGUAGCAGUGAAAUGCGUAGAUAUGUGGAGGAAUACCGAUGGCGAAGGCAGCCCCCUGGGAUAACACUGACGCUCAUGCACGAAAGCGUGGGGAGCAAACAGGAUUAGAUACCCUGGUAGUCCACGCCCUAAACGAUGUCUACUAGUUGUCGGGUCUUAAUUGACUUGGUAACGCAGCUAACGCGUGAAGUAGACCGCCUGGGGAGUACGGUCGCAAGAUAAAACUCAAAGGAAUUGACGGGGACCCGCACAAGCGGUGGAUGAUGUGGAUUA